AAGCAGAUGAUGAGAUUGACUCGGAUUCCCCUUCUGGACAUAUUUGUGAUGCCAUUAGAGUUUUUGAUGCU